UGGAGUACAGCAUUGUGUCACAGUGCUGUUGCCAAAGGCAGCAGUUCCCCUGUGACCUGUGGUGGGGAAGCUUGGACAGGCUGGUGUCUGUGCAGGGUUUGGGGAUCAGGUGGAGUUUUGGCAUCUGGCAUCCUGCAGCAGGUCUGCAGGAAAAGUGGCCCCUUUAGGUACAGGAGACUUUUCUCAGGAACUGCUUGCUGUCCUGUUAGGAGGUUAUUGACUACUGCAUUACACCUGAAAAAUGGCAAGUGAAACUGCACUGUGAGUGCUGGAAAAUGCAGAAACUGCAGAGAUGCAAGUAAUUCAGCUGGGACAAGAAGAAGGAUUAUAGAAUCAUAGAAUCGCUAAGGCUUCAUUCUUUUUCACCACUCCAGAUAUUUUGAGGGUACAUUUCCACCUCAUCAGCAAGCAGACUUCAUCCUUAAGAACUUCUCCAAAGAGCAAAUGUGGACAGUUGCAGCAUCCUUUCCUUAUGUGCAGAGAAACUGGAAAACACCAGUGAGCCCUGGAAGCUCCUAUAGAUGAAUCCCACUGCAGCCCUGCAAAAGAGCCCAUGAGCAUGGCCACUGCUUAUCUUGCAAUAAAUCCUGCUCCCUCUAUGA